GUUUCGGUGGUAUGGUGGUUAGCAUAGCUGCCUUCCAAGCAGUUGACCCGGGUUCGCUUCCCGGCCGACG
rnacentral:tRNA from 1 species